GGACCCGCACAAGCGGUGGAUGAUGUGGUUUAAUUCGAUGCAACGCGAAAAACCUUACCUACCCUUGACAUGCCUGGAAUCUUGCAGAGAUGUGAGAGUGCCCGAAAGGGAGCCAGGACACAGGUGCUGCAUGGCCGUCGUCAGCUCGUGUCGUGAGAUGUUGGGUUAAGUCCCGCAACGAGCGCAACCCUUGUCAUUAGUUGCUACGAAAGGGCACUCUAAUGAGACUGCCGGUGACAAACCGGAGGAAGGUGGGGAUGACGUCAGGUCCUCAUGGCCCUUAUGGGUAGGGCUACACACGUCAUACAAUGGCCGGUACAGAGGGUUGCCAACCCGCGAGGGGGAGCUAAUCCCAGAAAACCGGUCGUAGUCCGGAUCGCAGUCUGCAACUCGACUGCGUGAAGUCGGAAUCGCUAGUAAUCGCGGAUCAGCUUGCCGCGGUGAAUACGUUCCCGGGUCUU
rnacentral:rRNA from 1 species